CGUGAGCGGCGGACGGGUGAGUAACGCGUGGGUAACCUGCCUCAUACAGGGGGAUAACAGUUGGAAACGGCUGCUAAUACCGCAUAAGCGCACAGUACCGCAUGGUACGGUGUGAAAAACUCCGGUGGUAUGAGAUGGACCCGCGUCUGAUUAGGUAGUUGGUGGGGUAACGGCCUACCAAGCCGACGAUCAGUAGCCGACCUGAGAGGGUGACCGGCCACAUUGGGACUGAGCACGGCCCAA
rnacentral:rRNA from 1 species